AACGUAGGGGACAAGCGUUAUCCGGAUUUACUGGGCGUAAAGAGCGCGCAGGCGGCUGGUCAAGUCCGAUGUGAAAGCUCCCGGCUUAACUGGGAAAUUGCAUCGGAAACUGAUCGGCUGGAAGGUGGGAGAGGGUAGCGGAAUUCCCGGUGUAGUGGUGAAAUGCGUAGAUAUCGGGAGGAACACCAGUGGCGAAAGCGGCUACCUGGCCCAUUCUUGACGCUGAGGCGCGAAAGCUAGGGGAGCAAACGGG
rnacentral:rRNA from 1 species